AAAAAUUCUAGUUAAACAAGUGAGUGAAAAGGGAGUUUGAGAGCAUAAAAUAGUAGAGAGAGAGAGAGAAAGAGAGUGAUGCACCAGAAUAGAACGCGUGUUCUAUUUGCAUAUCAGAGGAGAAAUUGCUUCUUCUUGAUGAGCUCUUAAAUUGUUGCUGCAAGUCUCAUAACUCAGAACAGUAGCUGCUGCACCUGAAUGACUACUAUGUUCAGAUCUAUUUGAAGAGGACCCAUCAUACGAGAAGAGAAACAGCAAGCAACUAGUCUAACCCCUCAAAUUUAUAAUUGUUUGAGUGGUUCCAGCACCAAGUAGUGAUUAGUGCCACACUGAGGA